AUACGUAGGGUGCAAACGUUGUUCGGAAUCACUGGGCAUAAAGCGCACGCAGGCGGCCAAGUCAGUUCGGUGUGAAAGCCCUCGGCUCAACCGGGGAACUGCAUCGGAUACUGCUUGGCUCGAGGAUGGUUGGGGUGAGUGGAACUCCUGGUGGAGCGGUGAAAUGCGUAGAUAUCAGGAGGAACACCAGUGGCGAAAGCGGCUCACUGGACCAUAUCUGACGCUGAGGUGCGAAAGCUAGGGUAGCGAACGGGAUUAGAUACCCCAGUAGUCC
rnacentral:rRNA from 1 species